GGGGAAUCGUGUGCGGAGGGCAAUGCAAGUUUCACGGGUCGUGAGAAGUUUGUGGGCUGGAAAGGUCAUCAGUCCAGUCUUUGCCUCAGUGAGACACCUGGGACUUACCCCGUGCCCUGGAUCACUGUCACAGCAGGAAGAAGAGCAAGGACAAAACCCAGCCUUCAGUGUCAUCAGCUGGCUAGACAGAGACUAAGAAGCAAGCCCCAGGCCACGACUGAAGCAGAGAGCAAGACUGCUAGCUGGCUUUGGUGCCUUGUGGGAAGAGAGACCCCAGACAUUCAAGAGGCCCAGACAGAGCAGAUGAGAACAGGUGGUAAUUCACCUUCUUGGAAUACUAUGAAUGAUUGGAAGUUCACUGCUCUUCACACCUGACUGUCAGAGGCCCGAAGAAUAAGAGAUCAGUGACCACCCCUUGCCCCCUCGGUGUCCUGCCUGAAGAAGAGAUCACCGCCAUGUUAGGAGAGUCACUGUACACAAACUUGAUCUGAGAUGCUGGUAGGAUACAGCAAUGAGGAAGAAUUUUGAGAGAAGCACCUCAAAGUUCCAGCAGAAUCUACAGGGAAAACCUGAAUCCUUGAUGAAAUCGCUGGGUUGUUGGACCAAACUUAAGGCCACUUACUUUUGGAUUUCUUAAGGAAACAAGUAUCUUCUGCUACUGAGGUUUGUGUUUUAGUCAGAAGCGAGCAUUUCUAAUUGAUAUACGUAGCUCUUAAAACUUCUUAAACUUCUUUCCUGGCUUCUGAACCAAGAACACAGUACAACCGAGAAUUCUCUCCCAUCAGAAGCAUCAGGGUCAGAGAGUUCAGGAAGUCAGCAGGUGGAGGGGAGCUCCAGCAGCGAGGGAAAGGGGAAAAAGAAGGGCAAGCAGGGGAGAAGCGGGGAUUUCUUUGCAAGCUGAGGGUUGUCUACAAAGUUCUCCUAAAAAGAAGAUGCAGAAAUCAAGCACUGGUUCCAGAGAGUUUCAACUGACUGGCUGAACUUGCCUGGUGCAUGGAAACUACCAGAGUUGGUCUUGGUAUAUCAACCUGGAGACAUUACUGUGAGAUUCAUACUUUGGGGCACUUUGGAUGCCCACAUGGAUCAAAGGAAGCCACGGAACUAGGAGAGGAAGAAAAUGGGAACUGAGACAAGUAAUGAUAAAUAGAACAAUGGCUCAUUAACAUAUAAAAAAAGGAGUCGCCCUGGCUGGGACCCCAUAAGGCCACCUCCUCCCCUCCUGCCACCACCCAUGUUCUCUAGGUGCUCAAAGAAGAUUAACCUAACUGUGUAAGUGCUCAUCAGCUCCGAGAAAGAAAAAUGACUCUUGUCUGGCUUCAAAACAGCUCUACUCUGAGAUAAUCUUUGAAGAAGUGAAGAAGAAAAGGGAAAGAAUUUCUCUGCUAACUGGCGAGAAUGAUAAACCACAGACAUCCGGGGGCUGAUAGCUCUGAAUGAGCACCUGCAGAAUGGGAGGGCUGAGGCCGGAGGCAGUGGAGAUCAUCUUAACAGGAGGGGCGCUGAGCUGCAAGGAACGGCUUUAAGGUGUGUUAUGGAUCCUCCCCUCGUUGCACACCCCUGACAGCCCCUCCCCACCCUUGGAGACUCUGACAAAGUGAUUUCAUCAAGGGUCCAAUCCUGGUGAGGCUUAGGGGCCAUUUAAAUGACACAUGUGAACACUUCUGGAAAUUCCUAGAAUAUUUAGGGAGAGGAGGCCCUAUAUAAAAAAGCCAAGAUCUGUUCUUUACAUAGGUGAGGACUUGGAGCAUUGAGAUUGGGGUUAUUUUUGUACAUGGAACCCUAUUGUACUCCCUGCCAAUGCAGCCUGAAUCUCAAGACAGAUCAGCCCUUCUGGUCACAGCCUUUCCUUUGUUUUUCCCUGCAAGGAAACCCCUGAUGUUUAUUUCUAUAUUAGACCUUCUAUAAAAAAUAUUAAAGGGAAAUAUUUAUCUACUAUUCCACCUUCCACCCCCAGAUCUUUUUUCUUACACUUAUUAACUGAGAAGAUGAUGUCACACAUUCUGUUGUGUAGCACAAACUAUGAUCCUACCUUUUUAACCCGUUGAACCUCUUUACCUAGCCUGGACCAUUGUCACUUUAAAUUAAAUCUGUCCAAAAUGGACCACACUCACUGCCUUUUCUUCUCAAACUGGCUUCCUUUGCAGGCUCCCCUGUCACUGUUCAUGAUCUGAUUAUUGGUCUCCAGUCUCAGAAACUCUGUACCAGCAUGUAAUUAUUGAGCAUCUAAUAUGUGCAGAUGACCGGGUUAAAAUGUGUGGAGGUUACAGGGAUGUGCAGACACACUGGAUUUCAUAAUUUUGAUGAACUUGGGCAGAUACAUCUAAGUAGCGUGAACAACUCCACAACAAUUUGCAGCGUGGGUGUGGAUGGAAAGGAUGCUGUGUACACCACACAGGUCCCCCUUCAGAAACAAGCCAUUCUUUCUCCCAGGCACCUGGUCUGUUGGCUGUGGGUGGCUACCACCCGAGUCCCUCUCUGACCCUCAGCCUCUGCCCACAGAAUGGAGCUGUGUUGCUCAAGGGCACACAACCCACCCCAGUAACUGGUCAGUUAGAGGGUCCAAACACAUGGCUCUCCUUGGCUCACUUCGAACAACUCUGCAGGGCCACCCUAGCUCCCAAAUCUCCAUGGGAUUGGUAUCCCUGCUCAACUUCCCCCCUGACCUCUUGGGCUGCCCUCGUUCAUUCCUACACCAGUGUUGUUCCUGGAAGACUCUGCAAUGAAACAACUGCACUCUGAGGGUUUUUUCCUCCAGGGAAUUCAGCCUGGUCAUGUCUCAUCCUCCCCUCACUCGCCAAUCUUGCGUUAAAACUGGUUAAAAUAAUUACAGUUUAAAUAGAUUAAAACUGCCUUAAGCUGGGAUGCCUGCAUGGCUCAGUCGGUUAAGCAUCUGCCUUCGGCCUAGGUCAUGAUCCCAGGGUCCUGGGAUCGAGUCCCACAUCUGGCUCCCUACUCAGCAGGGAGCCUGCUCUUCCCUCUGCCUGCCGCUCCCACUGCUUGUGUGUGCUCUUUCUUUCUGA